ACGAACGCUGGCGGCGUGCUUAACACAUGCAAGUCGCACGGAAAGGCCUCUUUCGGGGGGUACUCGAGUGGCGAACGGGUGAGUAACACGUGAGUAACCUGCCCUUGACUUUGGGAUAACUUCAGGAAACUGGGGCUAAUACCGGAUAGGAGCUCCUGCUGCAUGGUGGGGGUUGGAAAGUUUCGGCGGUUAGGGAUGGACUCGCGGCUUAUCAGCUUGUUGGUGGGGUAGUGGCUUACCAAGGCUUUGACGGGUAGCCGGCCUGAGAGGGUGACCGGCCACAUUGGGACUGAGAUACGGCCCAGACUCCUACGGGAGGCAGCAGUGGGGAAUAUUGCACAAUGGGUGGAAGCCUGAUGCAGCAACGCCGUGUGCGGGAUGACGGCCUUCGGGUUGUAAACCGCUUUCGCUCAUGACGAAGCUUUGUGUGACGGUAGUGGGUAAAGAAGCACCGGCUAACUACGUG
rnacentral:rRNA from 1 species